rnacentral:rRNA from 1 species
UAAGGGCGUACGGUGGAUGCCUUGGCGAUAUCAGCCGAAGAAGGACGCGGUAAGCUGCGAUAAGCUACGGAGAGAUGCAAGCAAUCUGUGACCCGUAGAUUUCCGAAUGGGGGAACCCGGCAGUGGUUAUGCACUGUCACCCAUAGCAUAGACUAUGAGGAGGGCACCCGGGGAACUGAAACAUCUAAUUACCCGGAGGAACAGUAAUCAAACGAGAUUUUCUUAGUAGCGGCGAGCGAACGGGAAAGAGGCCAAACCGGAGCGGGCAACCGCACCGGGGUUGAGGACAGUCAUCAAGUGUAAAUGAGGUAGAAGAAUCGAGCUGGAAAGCUCAGCCGCAGAAGGUGAAAGCCCUGUAAUCGAAACCUUGCAUACACGGGACUGUAUCCAGAGUACCACGAGACACGUGAAACCUUGUGGGAAGCAGGGGGGACCACCCUCCAAGCCAAAAUACUGAUAUCGACCGAUAGCGCAUAGUACCGUGAGGGAAAGGUGAAAAGAACCCCUGGCGGGGAGUGAAAGAGAACCUGAAACCGUAUGUCUACAAACAGUCGAAGUCUGUAUAUAUAUCAGGACGACGGCGUGCCUAUUGAAGAAUGAACCGACGAGUUACUGUUGCUAGCGAGGUUAAGUGGAAAACAUGGAGCCGCAGCGAAAGCGAGUCUGAACAGGGCGUUCAGUUAGUAAUAGUAGACCCGAAACCGUAGUGAUCUAUCCAUGGCCAGGUUGAAGCACAGGUAAAAUUGUGUGGAGGACCGAACUCGUGAGCGUUGAAAAGCUUUGGGAUGAGUUGUGGAUAGGGGUGAAAUGCCAAUCGAACACGGAGAUAGCUGGUUCUCCCCGAAAUAGCUUUAGGGCUAGCCUCGAGGUAGAGAGUAUAGGCGGUAGAGCACUGAUCGGGCUAGGGGCCAUACCGGUUACCGAACCUAGUCAAACUACGAAUGGCUAUACUUAUACUCGGGAGUCAGACAGUGAAUGAUAAGGUCCAUUGUCAAGAGGGAAACAGCCCAGAACACCGACUAAGGUCCCUAAUGUUACACUAAGUGGCGAAGGAUGUGGAAUUUCCAAAACAACCAGGAUGUUGGCUUAGAAGCAGCCACCAUUUAAAGAGUGCGUAAUAGCUCACUGGUCGAGAGACUCUGCGCCGAAAAUGUCCGGGGCUAAAGUGUAAAACCGAAGUCGUGUCAUAUGCAGCAAUGUAUAUGGGUAGGGGAGCGUUCUCAUCGGGCUGAAGCAGUACCGUAAGGAGUUGUGGACUGAUGAGAAGUGAGAAUGUCGGUAUGAGUAGCGAAAAGAAUGGUGAGAAUCCAUUCCACCGAAAGCCUAAGGGUUCCUGAGCAACGAUCGUCGUCUCAGGGUAAGUCGGGACCUAAGCCGAGGCGGAACAGCGUAGGCGAUGGACAACAGGUUGAAAUUCCUGUACCGGUGUGAAUCGUUUGAUCGAUGGAGUGACACAGUAAGGUAGGUCAGCACGCGAUUGGAAGAGCGUGUUUAAGCAGGUAGGUUGAGCUAUAGGCAAAUCCGUAGCUCUAAAAGCUGAGAUGUGAUGACGAGUGACUAGCAAUAGUCGCGAAGUGAUUGAUCCUACACUGUCGAGAAAAGCUUCUAGGUAGAGACACAUCGCCCGUACCAAAACCGACACAGGUAGGCGGGGAGAGAAUCCUAAGGUGCGCGGGAAAACCCUCGUUAAGGAACUCGGCAAAAUGCCUCCGUAACUUCGGGAAAAGGAGGACUCAUGUAGUGUGAAGAGCAGAAGCGCUUGGAGCAUGAAUGAGUGGCACAAGAGAGGCGCAAGCGACUGUUUACCACAAACACAGGUGCCUGCUAAAGCGAAAGCUGAUGUAUAGGUGCUGACACCUGCCCGGUGCUGGAAGGUUAAGAGGAGGGGUUAGACUUCGGUCGAAGCUCUGAAUUGAAGCCCCAGUAAACGGCGGCCGUAACUAUAACGGUCCUAAGGUAGCGAAAUUCCUUGUCGGGU